GAUGAACGCUAGCGGGAGGCUUAACACAUGCAAGUCAAGGGGUAACAUGAGGUAGCAAUACUUUGAUGACGACCGGCGCACGGGUGAGUAACGCGUAUGUAACCUACCUUGUACGGGGGGAUAGCCCGGAGAAAUUCGGAUUAAUACCCCAUAAUGAUAUCUGAAGGCAUCUUUAGAUAUUUAAAGUUUCGACGGUACGAGAUGGGCAUGCGUGACAUUAGCUAGUUGGUAAGGUAACGGCUUACCAAGGCUGCGAUGUCUAGGGGUCCUGAGAGGGUGAUCCCCCACACUGGUACUGAGACACGGACCAGACUCCUACGGGAGGCAGCAGUGAGGAAUAUUGGUCAAUGGGCGUAAGCCUGAACCAGCCAUCCCGCGUGAAGGAAGAAGGCGCUAUGCGUCGUAAACUUCUUUUCCGGAGGAAUAAAAUUUCGUACGUGUACGGGACUGAAGGUACUCCGGGAAUAAGCAUCGGCUAACUCCGUGCCAGCGGCCGCGGUAAUAC
rnacentral:rRNA from 1 species